CAAGAUUCUUUCCGAAUGUUCUUAUAUAUAUUGUUUAUAAUUUUAACAGCCACGAACCCUAGCCCUCAAUCACUCGCAAUCUUUUCUCCCAACUCGGCCUCGCUCUUCUUCUCAACUGCGAAAAUGUCUCACUUCGGAAGGUCAGGCCCUCCCGACAUCACCGACACAUACUCUCUUCUCGUCCUCAACAUCACUUUCCGCACGUCUGCUGAUGAUUUGUUUCCGCUCUUCGACAAGUACGGGAAGGUCGUCGACAUCUUCAUUCCUAAAGAUCGAAGGACCGGUGAUUCUCGAGGUUUUGCAUUUGUGCGCUACAAGUAUGCAGAUGAGGCACAAAAAGCUGUGGAGAGGCUCGAUGGGAGGGUAGUCGAUGGUCGGGAGAUAACAGUUCAAUUUGCAAAAUAUGGACCUAAUGCAGAGAGGAUUCACAAAGGAAGGAUUAUUGAAUCAUUUCCAAAGUCAAAGUACAGGUCAAGAAGCCGCAGCCCUCGCAGAAGGCACCGGGAUGACCAUCACAAAGAUAGGGAUUAUAGGAGAAGAAGUCGUAGUCGAAGUUAUGAUAGGUAUGAACGUGAUCGUUAUCGUGGGAAAGACAAAGACUAUGGGCGCCAAAGCAGGAGCCGUAGUGCAAGUCCUAACUAUUCUAAAGGCCGAGGAAGAGGCCGCUAUGAUGAUGAUCGGCGGAGUAGUAGUCGAUCAAUAAGUGCUUCUCCUGCUCGCCGCAGCCCUAGUCCUCGAAAGAGUCCUUCUCCACGCAAGGCAUCUUCCCCUAGGGGUGAAAGUCCUGAUAGACGCAGCCGUGAUGGACGGUCCUCAAGUCCUCGAAGUGUUUCACCACGAGGUCGUCCUGCUGAUUCUCGGAGCCCAUCUCCUCGAAACUCAGACGUUGAUGAAUGAUCGCUGAUAGCAGGGGAAUUCCUGGAUACAUUAAGUAGCAUGUUUCUUUCUUCUAUGUUGCAAAUGUUGGGAACGUUCAAAUGUCAUGCGUUUCUAGUAUUGCAAUGUUCGGGGAAAGAGUGACUUGGGCAAUUGGACAUGAUGUGACAUGAUGUUGAUGUUGUGGCUGUUGAUGCUGUAUGUAUCUGUAGAUGAAUGAUCGUGAUUGUGAUGCUGGUUAUAUCAGUAUGCUGAUUGCAGUGAAAGUUUGUUAACUAUUUUUUAACUGAAAGAUAUGGUGAUUGUUGCUGUGAUGGUAUAAAAGGGACCCAAGAUGAUUUUUUUGACCUGUGGAAUGCUGCGAUUGAUGGACCUGUGAUGCAUUAGACGUGAUGCGGUUUACUAAAAUAAAAAUGUAAUGUCUGGUCUGAACCUUGCGAUUACAUUGAUUGAACAGAAUAACUUGUUUCUGUUUAAUUGUUUGAUUGGUGUAUUCCAUUAAUCAUGUUUAACCACACCCUUCUGCUUAAUGUUUGAGUUGUAGCAAAAUUGACCAUGACCGUAGCUGUGAAGUGGUGGUUGUGCCAAUUCUGUUCCAAGGUACAUGUGGCUCGUGGGUAACUAUUGAGUGCCAAUGAAUAACCUGUAGCAGGCUGUUGCUGCCUUUUUUGUCUGGUCUCAUUGAAAAUGCUUUUAGCAGUUGCCUAACUUGCUGGCUGGUUUGCUUGUCGCGGGCUGUUGCUGCCCUUCCUGUGGGGUCGUGUCAGGUUGGUACUGGCAGUGUUUUGGUAUGCAUACGAUAUGCCACCCUUGGUCACAUGUUAGGGUUACAUUUAUUAUCAGUCAUUUUCUUUUAUCUGUUCUAAAAGUUCUUUUGCUAUUAUUAUGACGAAGAAAUUGUGAUCUUAUACGAGAUCACUCUUCAUUCAUUCCUAGACUCUAUUUUAUUAGUAGGGGAUCUCCCAUAUUUAUUAUGGUCUGAGCUUGCUGAGGUGCAUAUAGAAUGAAAUUACUGAAAAAUUUAGGAACCCGUUCGAUGGUGAUUAAACAUGUUAAAAGAACAAAUAAACGAAGACAAUUGCUGUUUUGAGCCAAAACCUUGAGCUGUGCAUUAAAUGUUGUUGCUGUCCUUUAUCUCUGUUAGUAUGUGUUGCAUGUAUAGUCUACAAAAAUUUUAUGAAUAAAAGAAUUUCUGAUAGCAUACAAUUUGUGUUUUGGCUUCCUGGUUUUCCCAUUUAUUUUCUGAAAAUUUCUAGAUGAACUGGCGAUGUUGUGACUACUGAAUUGCUUUUGUAGGCAUGAUAUCUAGUUGGCUUAUUUUGCAUUAAGUUCAUGGUCUUGAGUUUGUUACUUCGUUUCAAGGGAUAUGUUUUUAACUUGAGUGACAGGUUAUUAUAAAUAUUUCGUUUCAGCAAAGCAUGAUUCAUCCUUAAUUUAUCGCAUGAUGGUGAAUCUCCUGACACAUUACAUCAAAUAGGUUUGUGGAAUUAGAAUUUAUCCAAAACUUUAUUGGUAAAUUCUUGAAAUGCAAAGCACCAAAUCCAUCUGUACGACAUUUUCAUGCCAGUGUUUGACUUUGUUUGAAUCUUCAAAUCAAAUUGUAUUGGAUUUA